GACGAACGCUGGCGGCGUGCUUAAUACAUGCAAGUCGAACGAAGCUGUUUUAACUGGUGCUUGCACCGACUUAAACAACUGAGUGGCGAACGGGUGAGUAACACGUGGGUAACCUGCCCCAAAGCAGGGGAUAACAUUUGGAAACAGAUGCUAAUACCGCAUAACCACAGAAACCACAUGGUUUCUGUGUCAAAGAUGGUUUCGGUUAUCACUUUGGGAUGGACCCGCGGCGUAGUAGCUAGUUGGUAAGAUAAUGGCUUACCAAGGCAAUGAUACGUAGCCGAACUGAGAGGUUGAUCGGCCACAUUGGGACUGAGACACGGCCCAAACUCCUACGGGAGGCAGCAGUAGGGAAUCUUCCACAAUGGACGAAAGUCUGAUGGAGCAACGCCGCGUGAGUGAAGAAGGUUUUCGGAUCGUAAAACUCUGUUGUCAGAAAAGAACGUGUGCGAGAGUAACUGUUCGUGCAGUGACGGUAUCUGGCCAGAAAGCCACGGCUAACUACGUGCCAGCAGCCGCAGUAA
rnacentral:rRNA from 1 species